GGUGAGUAACACGUGAGUAACCUGCCCUGGACUCUGGGAUAAGCGUUGGAAACGACGUCUAAUACCGGAUAGGACCUCGGAUCGCAUGAUCUGGGGUGGAAAGUUUUUUCGGUCUGGGAUGGACUCGCGGCCUAUCAGCUUGUUGGUGAGGUAACGGCUCACCAAGGCGUCGACGGGUAGCCGGCCUGAGAGGGUGACCGGCCACACUGGGACUGAGACACGGCCCAGACUCCUACGGGAGGCAGCAGUGGGGAAUAUUGCACAAUGGGCGCAAGCCUGAUGCAGCAACGCCGCGUGCGGGAUGACGGCCUUCGGGUUGUAAACCGCUUUUAGUAGGGAAGAAGGGCUUCGGCUUGACGGUACCUGCAGAAAAAGGACCGGCUAACUACGUGCCAGCAGCCGCGGUAAUACGUAGGGUCCGAGCGUUGUCCGGAAUUAUUGGGCGUAAAGAGCUCGUAGGCGGUUUGUCGCGUCUGCUGUGAAAACUAGAGGCUCAACCUCUAGCCUGCAGUGGGUACGGGCAGACUGGAGUGCGGUAGGGGAGAAUGGAAUUCCUGGUGUAGCGGUGGAAUGCGCAGAUAUCAGGAGGAACACCGAUGGCGAAGGCAGUUCUCUGGGCCGUAACUGACGCUGAGGAGCGAAAGCGUGGGGAGCGAACAGGAUUAGAUACCCUGGUAGUCCACGCCGUAAACGUUGGGCGCUAGAUGUGGGGACCUUUCCACGGUUUCCGUGUCG
rnacentral:rRNA from 1 species